rnacentral:rRNA from 1 species
AGGAUGAACGCUGGCGGCGUGCCUAACACAUGCAAGUCGAACGUCCUGUCUCGCAAGAGGCAGGGAGUGGCGGACGGGUGAGUACCACGUGGGUCAUCUACCGUGAGGUGAGGAAUACCGGCGAGAAAUCGCCGACAAGACCGCAUAGGCUCGAUGCAAGUCGAGCAAAGCUCUUUCGAGAGAGGGAGCGCCACACGAGGAGCCUGCGCCCGAUUAGCUAGCUGGUGGAGUAACGGUUCACCAGGGCGACGAUCGGUAGCUGGUCUGAGAGGACGAUCAGCCACACUGGGAUUGAGAACGGCCCAGACUCCUACGGGGGCAGCAGUGAGGAAUUUUCGUCAAUGGGGGCAACCCUGAACGAGCAACGCCGCGUGCAGGAAGAAGGUUUCGGAUCGUAAACUGCUUUUCUCGGGAAGAGAACGGACGGUACCGAGGAAUCACGCCCGGCUAACUACGUGCCAGCAGCCGCGGU